rnacentral:rRNA from 1 species
UACGUCGGGUGCGAGCGUUAAUCGGAAUUACUGGGCGUAAAGCGUGCGCAGGCGGUUUGCUAAGACAGGUGUGAAAUCCCCGGGCUUAACCUGGGAACUGCAUUCGAGACUGCAUUGCUAGAGUAUGGGAGAGGGAAGUGGAAUUUCCGGUGUAGCGGUGAAAUGCGUAGAUAUCGGAAGGAACAUCAGUGGCGAAAGCGACUUCCUGGACCAAUACUGACGCUCAUGUGCGAAAGCGUGGGGAGCAAACAGG